AUUGAACGCUGGCGGCAGGCCUAACACAUGCAAGUCGAGCGGAGCGGCAGACGGGUGAGUAAUGGCUAGGAAUCUGCCUCGUAGUGGUGGAUAACGUCCGGAACCGGGAGCUAAUACCACAUCCUCUCAGAUGCGCCUAUGUCGGAUUAGCUAGUGGGUGGGGUAAAGGUCUACCAAGGCGACGAUCCGUAACUGGUCUGAGAGGAUGAUCAGUCACAAUGGAACGGAGACACGGUCCAGACUCCUACGGGAGGCAGCAGUGGGGAAUAUUGGACAAUGGGCGAAAGCCUGAUCCAGCCAUGCCGCGUGUGUGAAGAAGGUCUUCGGAUUGUAAAGCACUUUAAGUUGGGAGGCGUUACCAACAGAAUAAGCACCGGCUAACUUCGUGCCAGCCGCCGCGGUAAUUC
rnacentral:rRNA from 1 species